GCCCAGACUCCUACGGGAGGCAGCAGUGGGGAAUAUUGCACAAUGGGGGAAACCCUGAUGCAGCGACGCCGCGUGAGCGAUGAAGUAUUUCGGUAUGUAAAGCUCUCUCAGCAGGGAAGAAGAUGACGGUACCUGACUAAGAAGCCCCGGCUAACUACGUGCCAGCAGCCGCGGUAAUACGUAGGGGGCAAGCGUUAUCCGGAUUUACUGGGUGUAAAGGGGGCGUAGACGGCGAUGCAAGCCAGAUGUGAAAGCCCGGGGCUCAACCCCGGGACUGCAUUUGGAACUGUGUGGCUGGAGUGUCGGAGAGGCAGGCGGAAUUCCUAGUGUAGCGGUGAAAUGCGUAGAUAUUAGGAGGAACACCAGUGGCGAAGGCGGCCUGCUGGACGAUGACUGACGUUGAGGCUCGAAAGCGUGGGUAGCGAACGGGAUUAGAUACCCGCGUA
rnacentral:rRNA from 1 species